rnacentral:rRNA from 1 species
UAGCGAGAUGUGGGUGAGAAUCCCACAGGCCGAAAACCUAAGGUUUCCUCAGGAAGGUUCGUCCGCUGAGGGUUAGUCGGGACCUAAGCCGAGGCCGAAAGGCGUAGGUGAUGGACAACUGGUUGAUAUUCCAGUACCACUACCAUCGUUAUUAUCGAUGGCGUGACGCAGGAGGAUAGUGUGUGCUAGCUAUUGGAUGCUAGUCUAAGCGUUUAGGCAGUGAGAGUAGGCAAAUCCGCUCUCAUAAUGCUGAGGCGUGAUGGGGAAGGUUCUACGGAACCGAAGUACAUGAUUCCACGCUGCCAAGAAAAGCGUCUAGAGAGAGAAGUAGUGCCCGUACCGCAAACCGACACAGGUAGGUGAGGAGAGAAUCCUAAGGCCGGCGGAAGAAUUACAGUUAAGGAACUCGGCAAAUUGACCCCGUAAGUUCGCGAGAAGGGGUGCCUACGAGAGUAGGCCGCAGAGAAUAGGCCCAAGCAACUGUUUAGCAAAAACACAGGUCUCUGCUAAAGCGUAAGCUGAUGUAUAGGGGCUGACGCCUGCCCGGUGCUGGAAGGUUAAGGGGAACACUUAGCGCAAGCGAAGGUGUGAACUUAAGCCCCAGUAAACGGCGGCCGUAACUAUAACGGUCCUAAGGUAGCGAAAUUCCUUGUCAGGUAAGUUCUGACCCGCACGAAUGGCGUAAUGACUUGGGCACUGUCUCAACUGUAAAUCCGGCGAAGUUGUAGUGCGAGUGAAGAUGCUCGCUACCCGCGAUUGGACGGAAAGACCCCGUAGAGCUUUACUGUAGCUUAGCAUUGAGUUUUGGUAUUGUCUGUACAGGAUAGGUGGGAGACUAGGAAACCAGGGCGUCAGCCUUGGUGGAGUCAACCUUGGGAUACCACCCUGACAGUACUGAAAUUCUAACUGGCGGCCAUGAAUCUGGUCACAGGACAUUGUUAGGUGGGCAGUUUGACUGGGGCGGUCGCCUCCUAAAAAGUAACGGAGGCGCCCAAAGGUUCCCUCAGAACGGUCGGAAAUCGUUCGAAGAGUGCAAAGGCAGAAGGGAGCCUGACUGCGACACCCACAAGUGGAGCAGGGACGAAAGUCGGGCUUAGUGAUCCGGUGGUACCUCGUGGGAGGGCCAUCGCUCAACGGAUAAAAGCUACCUCGGGGAUAACAGGCUGAUCUCCCCCAAGAGUCCACAUCGACGGGGAGGUUUGGCACCUCGAUGUCGGCUCGUCGCAUCCUGGGGCUGAAGUAGGUCCCAAGGGUUGGGCUGUUCGCCCAUUAAAGCGGCACGCGAGCUGGGUUCAGAACGUCGUGAGACAGUUCGGUCCCUAUCCGUCGCGGGCGUAGGAAAUUUGAGAGGAGCUGUCCUUAGUACGAGAGGACCGGGAUGGACUGACCUCUGGUGUACCAGUUGUUCCGCCAGGAGCACAGCUGGGUAGCUAAGUCGGGAAUGGAUAAACGCUGAAAGCAUCUAAGCGUGAAGCCAACCUCAAGAUGAGAUUUCCCAUAGCGUAAGCUAGUAAGAUCCCUUGAAGAACACAAGGUUGAUAGGUCGGGGGUGUAAGCAUGGUAACAUGUUCAGCUGACCGAUACUAAUAGAUCG